CCUAUUUGAUUAGCGGGCACACUUUUCCUCAAAUUGCAGCCAUAAAAUUUAGAAUAAUUCGUCCGUAAUGAUGGUGGACUGGCUUUAUUUUGGGAGGUUGGAAUAAAAGUGGAUAUAGCAUAAAUUAUACUCUAAUUACACGCCUGCGUCGCCUCAAUUAUCCUCUUAUCAAGAACGGUCGUCUCAACGCGGCGUUUAGUUUCACUUUUCCGCCUAACGAGAACUUGCUACCUUGCUAUUAUCGUCAACUGCGGUUGUUAUUUACUUUCUGCGAUUUAAAAGUGCAACAACCCGGCUGCCGGAUCGUCAUUUUUACACAAGCAGGAGACCAGAUGAGAAGCACGCAGGCGGGCGGGCGAUGCUGCGACACAUCCACGGGGAUUUAUUUCCAACGUAGUUAAAAAAAAUAUUAUCGGAAUAAAAUAGACGGAUGGGAGCAGGGUUGAAGGUACGCCUCCAUGCAUCCCCUCAUGGCAGCUCCAAGCCUCCCCUUUCCCCCCCUCCCAAUCCGUCUCCCCCUGGUUGGCUUCCACAGCUGUGGUGAGUGAGGGGGCAGAUGACCGGAGAUUUGGCCCCUGGGAGAGCGCCGAGCCAUCCUGGUGCUAUUAGACUGGUGGCUAAUAAUAGGUGUUUCAGACUCGGGGAAGAUCAAUCAGAGGGGAAUGGGGAAUGUUCAGGCCAGCGCUUUUUACACAUCGGCCCAGAUGGAUGAAAUUACACUUGUCAGUUUUUAGUUGCAUUACUCCCAAAUUGGUUGUCUACUCUUUUUUUUUCACCCCCCCCUCCCACCCAUCGCUGCCUAAUUCCUGCUCUUGUUUUUCCUCCUUUUUUUUUUUUUCCUUGGUUCAUGUGUCAAUGUCCUGCUAAAAGGAUUCGGCAGUGAAAUCCCUGUCAUUUUGUGCCUGGCUCUUCAAGGAACAGCCCUGAAUAUUCACUUCAAGGACAUUUGUUCCCUGUAAACAUUUUUCACGUUAUGGUCAAAGCGCGCGAUUGUGGAAAAUGUGCAAAUGACAUUUUGUUACGUUUAGUGUAUAUCAUCGAGUUGAAAAUGUGUCCUUGAUAUUCAAAUUUUCUCUCAUGCUGUUUUUAGCUGCUCGGUGUCAUUUGAAUGUAAAUCUGAAAAAAAAUUUCAACGGACUGUCAUUAUAUAAGAUUGCUUUAAAUGCCUUGCUAAUGUGAAAUUCAUUGAGAAACAUUUCCCUGGAUGAGAAAAGAAAAUUCUUAUGACUGUGUCAAAGAUAAAGUUCUUUACAACAAAA